AGAGGAUUGGUGUAAUGGUAGCAUGACGGUCUCCAAAACCGUUCGUCAAAGGUUCGAGUCCUUCGAUCCUCUGCCA
rnacentral:tRNA from 1 species